rnacentral:rRNA from 1 species
CGGCGGACGGGUGAGUAACACGUAGGCAACCUGCCCGUAAGCUCGGGAUAACAUGGGGAAACUCAUGCUAAUACCGGAUAGGGUCUUCUCUCGCAUGAGAGGAGACGGAAAGGUGGCGCAAGCUACCACUUACGGAUGGGCCUGCGGCGCAUUAGCUAGUUGGUGGGGUAACGGCCUACCAAGGCGACGAUGCGUAGCCGACCUGAGAGGGUGACCGGCCACACUGGGACUGAGACACGGCCCAGACUCCUACGGGA